rnacentral:rRNA from 1 species
AUACGAAAGGUGCAAGCGUUGUUCGGAUUUACUGGGCGUAAAGAGAUCGUAGGUGGUUUAUUAAGUCGGAUGUGAAAUCCCGGGGCUCAACCCCGGAACUGCAUUCGAUACUGAUAGGCUAGAGUUUGGGAGGGGUAAGCGGAAUUCCGUGUGUAGCAGUGAAAUGCGUAGAUAUACGGAGGAACACCUGAGGCGAAGGCGGCUUACUGGACCAAUACUGACACUGAGGAUCGAAAGCGUGGGUAGCAAACAGGAUUAGAUACCCUAGUAGUCC